UCUUCCAAGGACAACUGAAGAACGAAAUGGGAGCGUGUCGUUCGUCAAGCUGACGUCGACAUCCGCUUUCUUCGUGACCCGAUAGGUUGCCAGAGAUCCACCGUUCGAGAAACAUCUUUCGAGAUCCUCGGCGAUGGUCCUGGCUUGCUGUACGGCCCACUCCAUGUCUUCGGCAUCCCCGCUGAGAAGGGCGGCUUCCCAUUGCUCAGCAAGGUAAAGCAUGAGGAACUAGAAGAAAAGAAAGGGAGCCUAUCAUAUACAAGCCGAUUUCACACGGGUGCUCCAUCAGGGUCUCAGUGUCACAGCAAGAAAGCACGACGCCGGUAAGAAAAGGCAGAGACAAAUAAAAAGAACGAAAGAAAAGAAAGGUUAGGCCUCAUGGAGGAUCGAGCCUAUUCCUAUACGGCAGCGAAAGGAGA